rnacentral:rRNA from 1 species
GACGAACGCUGGCGGCGGGCUUAACACAUGCAAGUCGAACGGGGAGGCCCUGGUAUUGUGGGCUGCUGGAUUGGCGAACGGGGGAGUAACACGUGUGUAACCUGCCCUUCACUUUGGGAUAACUUCAGGUAACGGGGGCUAAUAACGGAUAGGAGCUCCUGCUGCAUGGUGGGGGUUGGAAAGUUUCGGCGGUUGGGGAUGGAUUCGCGGCUUAUCAGCUUGUUGGUGGGGUAGUGGCUUACCAAGGCUUUGACGGGUAGCCGGCCUGAGAGGGUGACCGGCCACAUUGGAACUGAGCUACGGCCCAGACUCCUACGGGAGGCAGCAGUGGAGAAUAUUGCACAAUGGGAGGAAGCCUGAUGCAGUCACGCCGCGUGCGGGAUGACGGCCUUCGGGUUGUAAACCGCUUUCGCCUGUGACGAAGCGUGAGUGACGGUAAUGGGUAAAGAAGCACCGGCUAACUACGUG